GACGUAGGGUGCGAGCGUUGUCCGGAUUUAUUGGGCGUAAAGAGCUCGUAGGCGGCUCGUCGCGUCGACCGUGAAAACCCGCGGCUUAACUGCGGGCUUGCGGUUGAUACGGGCGGGCUAGAGUUCGGUAGGGGAGACUGGAAUUCCUGGUGUAGCGGUGAAAUGCGCAGAUAUCAGGAGGAACACCGGUGGCGAAGGCGGUUCUCUGGGAAUGUCCUGACGCUGAGGAGCGAAAGUGUGGGGAGCGAACAGG
rnacentral:rRNA from 1 species